CAAUAGCGUAUAUUUAAGUUGUUGCAGUUAAAAAGCUCGUAGUUGGAUUUCGGAUGGGACUUGCCGGUCCGUCGUUUCGAUGUGCACUGGCCAGUCCUAUCUUGUUGUCGGGGACUAGCUCCUGGGCUUCACUGUCCGGGACUAGGAGCUGACGAGGUUACUUUGAGUAAAUUAGAGUGUUCAAAGCAAGCCUACGCUCUGAAUACAUUAGCAUGGAAUAACACGAUAGGACUCUGGCUUAUCUUGUUGGUCUGUGAGACCAGAGUAAUGAUUAAGAGGGACAGUCGGGGGCAUUCGUAUUUCAUUGUCAGAGGUGAAAUUCUUGGAUUUAUGAAAGUCGAACUUCUGCGAAAGCAUUUGUCAAGGAUGUUUUCAUUA
rnacentral:rRNA from 1 species